UGGGGAAUAUUGGACAAUGGGCGCAAGCCUGAUCCAGCCAUGCCGCGUGAGUGACGAAGGCCUUAGGGUUGUAAAGCUCUUUUGGCGGGGACGAUAAUGACGGUACCCGCAGAAUAAGCCCCGGCUAACUUCGUGCCAGCAGCCGCGGUAAUACGAAGGGGGCUAGCGUUGUUCGGAAUUACUGGGCGUAAAGCGCACGUAGGCGGACUUUCAAGUCAGGGGUGAAAUCUCUGGGCUUAACCCAGAACGGCCAAGUGAUACUGUCGCGCUAGAGUGCAGAAGGGGCAAUCGGAAUUCUUGGUGUAGCGGUGAAAUGCGUAGAUAUCAAGAGGAACACCUGAGGUGAAGACGGGUUGCUGGGCUGACACUGACGCUGAGGCGCGAAAGCUAGGGUAGCAAACGGGAUUAGAUACCCAAGUAGUCCCUGAGCGGGCUGGCAAGGCGCAU
rnacentral:rRNA from 1 species